rnacentral:lncRNA from 1 species
GGCCGCUCUAGUCUCCAGGCGGCGGUGCUCAGUGGUCGGUUACUGAGGGGCCUUGUGGCAACAAGGUGACAUAGGACAAACAGCACUCAGGUGAGCACCUGGAAAAGGCUGUUGAAGCACACAGGCACUAGAACUACUUUAUGAGCAUAAUUCCUUGGACCAUAAUCGUCACCUGAGGAAGCCGCGUGAGACACCAGUCUUAGGGCUUCAUACCUUGCAAUCUUGGAUCUGGGACUAGGAAUUUACAUUCUGUAACUCCUGGGGAGGGCUGCUGGAGAGAUGACUGAGCAGUUAAGAGCACUUGUUGCUCUUGGCAGACGACCUGGCUUCUAGUCCUAGCACCACAUGGAGGCUGACCGCCAUCUGUAACUCUUCUUCUGACUAUGAAGAUACUGUGCAUACAUUGGCAUAUACACAAUCACAGGCAAAGCAUUCAGAUUCAAAAUAAAUGUCUAGAA